rnacentral:lncRNA from 1 species
UGUUUAACAGUGCCAUCCGAGGAAAGAUUGUGUUAAACAGAAGAUGUUCGAAAAGGAAAAAGUCCAUUCAGGAAAAACAAGAGCCCUAUGAGGGAACCUAUUGAUAAUCUCACUAUUGAGGAAAGGGAUGCGAGGGCAGUUUUGUGUGUGCAAUUGGCAGCAAGAAGUCCACCAAGAGAUUUGGAAGAAUUGUUCUCUACAGUAGGAAAUGUUCGAGAUGUGAGGAUGAUUUCUGAUAGAAAUUCAAGACAAUCCAAAGGAAUUUCCUAUGUGGAAUGUGUUGAUGUCAGUUCAGUGCCUCUAGCAAUUGGAUUAAAUGGCCAAUGAGUUUUAGGAGUGCCAAUUAUAGUCCAGGCAUUACAGGCAGAAAAAGACAGAGCUGCUGCAAUGGUAAACAGUUUACAAAAAGGACCUAUGAGGCUGUACUACAUUUUAACAUAACUGAAGAGAUGCUUUGGGGGGGAAUCUUUGAACCUUUUGGAAGGAUUGAAAGUAUUCAGUUCCUAAUGAAUAAUGAAACCAGUUGAUCUAAGGGGUAUGGAUUUGUUGCAUUUUCUGACUAAGAAUGUGCCCAAAAGGCUUCGGAACAGCUUAAUGGUUUGAGUUAGCUGAGAGACCACUGAAAGUUGGUCAUGUUACUCAAUGAACUGAUGCUUCUAGUGCUAGUUCAUUUUGGGGACACUGAUGAACUACAAAGGACUGGAGUUGACUUGGGAACAACUGAACAUCUUCAGUUACUGGCAAGACUUGCUGAGGUUAACGGUUUGCAGAAUCCAUUUGCGGCACAAGUUUUACAAAUGAGUGACUCUUUGGCGUUUGGUGCUGUCAGUGAAAGAAAGAUGAAAUUUCAAGACCUGUAAGUCAUAUAAAGUACUCAGAAAUUGCUGGUUGUUUGUGAGCCUAGAGGCUACCUGGGGCUGAGAAAAGAGAAAAACAAACCUGGGUAUGCCUCGUAGUUAAAACAUUCCUGGGUACAGCUUAACAUUAAAGAUAAAGAGGAAUGUGAAGACACAACAGGGCUAUCUAAACUGAGUCAACAACUCACAGAACUCUGACACCCUGCACAUACAUAUAAUUUUUCUGUUAAUGUUUGAAUAAGCCAAUAGUGUGUUGCUAUGCUGAAUUCCACACCCCUAAGCCCCUCACCCCAUAAAACCCCCUAACUUUCGAGCCUCGUGGCCGGCAUCCGUUAUCUCCUGUGUGGGAUGCAUGUCGGUCCGGAGCUCCAUAAUUAAACGUCCUCAUGUAAUUACAGCAAGUUGGGUCCUCGUGUUUCUUUUGGUGCUCUCACACUCCUGAGACUAGAGUAGGGGUUCCCGAAAGGGGGUCUUACAUCAGAUUUGCAACAGGACUUUCCCAGCAGAGCAAAGCCUCAGCUAUUGCUACAUCUCUGUCUUUUCAACCUCUUGCAAUAGUGUUUCCAACUUUCUAACAUGUUUAAUCCUCUAACAGAAGAAGAAGUUUGAUGGGAUACAGAGGUUAAUGUCAUUGGAGAAUGUAAUAAACAAGGAGGAGUCAUUCAUAUUUAUGUUGAAAAUAAUUCAGUUCAGGGCAAUGUGGUUUUUUGUUUGUUUGAUUUGUUUUGUUUUGUUUUGGACAGGGUUUCUUUGUGUAGCCCUCGCUAUCCUCGCUAACUCACCUCAAACUCAGAAAUCCACCUGCCUCUGCCUCCCAAGUGAUGGGAUUAAAAGUGUGUACCAACACUGCCCUGCUCAGGGCAAUGUUUAUGUGAAGUGCCUAUCUAUUGCUGUGGCUAUUACUCCUGUCAAUGAAUUGCAUGGCAAGGGGCUUGCUGGUAAAAUGAUAACAGCAGCAUAUGUACCUCUUCCAACUUACCACAACCUCUUUCCUGAUUCUAUAUCAGCAUCACAAUACUGGUUCCAAG